ACACACACACAAGGGCCCCUCAACUGAGGGAGUGGUGUCAGCCCGGCCUCUGUAACUGAUGUUCCCAAGGCCACCAGAGCUGGGACCAGAGUGCCCAGCUUCCGUAGGCAAAGCCCGUGUGCCAUGAAAGACUAGAAACAGAGCCAACUCCUCCACCUGCCUAUAUGUCCCACUGCCCUCGCCCAAGGAAGCGCCGAGGCUGAUUACAGCCCCGUUCCAGGAGCACACAAGAGCAGAGAACGCAAGCAAGCUCUCCAGACUGCCUGUCAGCUUUCCAUGGUGGCAUCGGUAACAUUUGUCAACAUGCUUGUUGUUUCUCCGGCAUGAUGUGUGUCUGUGUAGAAAGGACCAGGGAGCGUCUUAUCCAUGGAAGUUAAAAUGGAUGGGGUUAGUCUGCAUCUCUGUAGUUCUCUGCAGGGAGGUGUGCAGGAAGACCCCAGCCUCCUCGACCCAGAGACAUCAGAGCUCUGCCAAGGGUUCAGAGGCUGCAAACAGGAAAUGCAAGGAUGGCAGAUGGAGCAGAGACUGAGGGAAUGGCCAACCAAUAACCAGCCCAACUUGAGACCCACCCCAUGGGAAUGGAACACAGAGAUCCAAAAAUAUUAAAUGUUUUUCAACAUCCAAGGGAGGAAAUAGUAUCCACCCUAUUGAUGUAAAUGUGACAAAAUGAUGGUAAUUGCUCGUGUUUGUAACGCAUGUUCAUUCUAAGUGCCUGGUAAAAGAAACAUUUCCAUACA
rnacentral:lncRNA from 1 species